rnacentral:rRNA from 1 species
GAUGAACGCUGGCGGCAUGCCUUACACAUGCAAGUCGAACGGUAACAGGUCUUCGGAUGCUGACGAGUGGCGAACGGGUGAGUAAUACAUCGGAACGUGCCUAGUAGUGGGGGAUAACUACUCGAAAGAGUGGCUAAUACCGCAUGAGAUCUACGGAUGAAAGCAGGGGAUCGCCAGACCUUGUGCUACUAGAGCGGCCGAUGGCAGAUUAGGUAGUUGGUGGGAUAAAAGCUUACCAAGCCGACGAUCUGUAGCUGGUCUGAGAGGACGAUCAGCCACACUGGGACUGAGACACGGCCCAGACUCCUACGGGAGGCAGCAGUGGGGAAUUUUGGACAAUGGGCGAAAGCCUGAUCCAGCAAUGCCGCGCGCAGGAUGAAGGCCUUCGGGUUGUAAACUGCUUUUGUACGGAACGAAAAGCCCCGGGUUAAUACCCUGGGGUCAUGACGGUACCGUAAGAAUAAGCACCGGCUAACUACGUGCCAGCCGCCGCGGUAA